CACCAUUGGCUCAACCACAGAUGGGGGCGGGACUAUUUGUUUGUCCAAACAAUGGAAACUGUUUCUGAAACACUGAAGAAGGGACCCGUACUCAACUGUUGUGGUGUGAUGUGGAGUCAGUGCAGUGGUCUCCUGUUGUGUGUGAGGUGUGAAAGGCACUGCACACUUCUUGAGGAGUUGAGGACAGAUUGAGUUCUGUACUGCUGAACAGCUGUCAUUCCCUGCUCACUGUCAAACAACAUACAGGGAUGCCUGGGGUUCUGACAGCUCUACCGCCAUCCACAACGUUUAUUUAUCUGAGGAGGAGAAAGGAAAGCUGGAGUGGAUGAUAGCUCAGCGUUGAUAUCUGUUCGGAGAGCGGCAGAGGGAACGAAAGAAUGGAAGGAGGAGGUGCAAAGAAGAGGAGGAGAUCUCCGUCUGACUCCCAAAAACCCCAAAAAACAUCCAUCCAAACCAUCGUAAGUAACUGGAUGUCCAGUCAACAGCUUUUCCACAGAUCAUCUUGUUUCUGAUAGCUUUGGAGCUGCAUACACACGAUGACUUGCAGAUCAGAUGUCUUGCGUUAGU